rnacentral:rRNA from 1 species
AUUGAACGCUGGCGGCAGGCCUAACACAUGCAAGUCGAACGAGUGGCGGACGGGUGAGUAAUGUCUGGGAAACUGCCUGAUGGAGGGGGAUAACUACUGGAAACGGUAGCUAAUACCGCAUACCAUCAGAUGUGCCCAGAUGGGAUUAGCUAGAUGGUGGGGUAACGGCUCACCAAGGCGACGAUCCCUAGCUGGUCUGAGAGGAUGACCAGCCACACUGAAACUUAGACACGGUCCAGACUCCUACGGGAGGCAGCAGUGGGUAAUAUUGCACAAUGGGCGCAAGCCUGUUGCAGCCAUGCCGCGUGUAUGAAGCAGGCCUUCGGUUUGUAAAGUACUUUCAGCGGGGAGGCGUUACCCGCAGAAGCAGCACCGGCUCACUCCGUGCCAGCCGCCGCUGUAAUAC